rnacentral:rRNA from 1 species
UACGAAGGGGGCUAGCGUUGUUCGGAAUUACUGGGCGUAAAGCGCACGUAGGCGGAUAUUUAAGUCAGGGGUGAAAUCCCAGAGCUCAACUCUGGAACUGCCUUUGAUACUGGGUAUCUUGAGUAUGGAAGAGGUGAGUGGAAUUCCGAGUGUAGAGGUGAAAUUCGUAGAUAUUCGGAGGAACACCAGUGGCGAAGGCGGCUCACUGGUCCAUUACU